AUACACGAGCAACCGGUUUCUGCUGAGCCAGUCACCAGUGCAGUGACGGCAAGUUAUGAGCAAUUCAGAAAUUAGCUGUUGACGUGCAUGUACACAGGCCUACAUACAUCCCAUACAACUUUCACCAUGGACUCGACAAAGAUGAAGACACCACACAUUCUGUACAUCGAAA